rnacentral:rRNA from 1 species
UACGUAGGUGGCGAGCGUUAUCCGGAAUUAUUGGGCGUAAAGAGCGCGCAGGUGGUUGAUUAAGUCUGAUGUGAAAGCCCACGGCUUAACCGUGGAGGGUCAUUGGAAACUGGUCGACUUGAGUGCAGAAGAGGGAAGUGGAAUUCCAUGUGUAGCGGUGAAAAUGCGUAGAGAUAUGGAGGAACACCAGUGGCGAAGGCGGCUUCCUGGUCUGUAACUGACACUGAGGCGCGAAAGCGUGGGGAGCAAACAGG